rnacentral:rRNA from 1 species
AGUGAACGCUGGCGGUAGGCCUAACACAUGCAAGUCGAACGGCAGCACAGUAAGAGCUUGCUCUUACGGGUGGCGAGUGGCGGACGGGUGAGGAAUACAUCGGAAUCUACUUUUUCGUGGGGGAUAACGUAGGGAAACUUACGCUAAUACCGCAUCCGACCUACGGUUGAAAGAAGGGGAUCUUCGGACCUUGGGCGAUUGAAUGAGCCGAUGUCGGAUUAGCUAGUUGGCGGGGUAAAGGCCCACCAAGGCGACGAUCCGUAGCUGGUCUGAGAGGAUGAUCAGCCACACUGGAACUGAGACACGGUCCAGACUCCUACGGGAGGCAGCAGUGGGGAAUAUUGGACAAUGGGCGCAAGCCUGAUCCAGCCAUACCGCGUGGGUGAAGAAGGCCUUCGGGUUGUAAAGCCCUUUUGUUGGGAAAGAAAAGCAGCAGGUUAAUACCCCGCUGUCCUGACGGUACCCAAAGAAUAAGCACCGGCUAACUUCGUG